CCAGAGAGUUUGAUUACUGGCUCAGGAUGAACGCUAGCUACAGGCUUAACACAUGCAAGUCGAGGGGCAGCAUUGGAGUAGCAAUACUCGGAUGGCGACCGGCGCACGGGUGAGUAACACGUAUCCGAACCUGCCGCUUACUCGGGGAUAGCCUUUCGAAAAGAAAGAUUAAUACCCGAUGGUAUAAAGAGUUCGCAUGUUCUCUUUAUUAAAGAAUUUCGGUAAGCGAUGGGGAUGCGUUCCAUUAGAUAGUUGGCGGGUAACGGCCCACCAAGUCUACGAUGGAUAGGGGUUCUGAGAGGAAGGUCCCCCACAUUGGAACUGAGACACGGUCCAAACUCCUACGGGAGGCAGCAGUGAGGAAUAUUGGUCAAUGGACGCGAGUCUGAACCAGCCAAAGUAGCGUGAAGGAUGACUGCCCUAUGGGUUGUAAACUUCUUUUAUAAGGGAAUAAAGUGAGGGACGUGUCCCUUUUUGUAUGUACCUUAUGAAUAAGGAUCGGCUAACUCCGUGCCAGCCGCCGC
rnacentral:rRNA from 1 species